rnacentral:rRNA from 1 species
AUGAUGAAUCUGGAACUCCUUGACUUGUCGGGUAACAUUCAUAUGGAAUCCCUGCCUGCAAUGUCAUCAGCAGGAAAUUUGAAGAUGCUUGUUCUUGAUGGUUGUUCCAGCUUGGAGCAUGUUGCACUCGAAGGAGCCCCUCCACUGCUCGAGAGUUUUAGCUUCGAUGGUUAUGGCCCAGCAGAGAAGUGGACACAUCCUAUACAGCUACCAAAAGAGAAACUACGGCCCAAGUCUCGCACUGCUUUAGUUCAAGAAGCCCGGGUGAGAAGGAUCUCGCUAAAGGGCUGUGCUCGAUUGCACAUGUUCUUGCAUGCAUUGCCCAAUCUUGAGGAGAUGGACCUCUCUGGCACAGCCGUUAAAUCACUUGACCUCAGUGCAAUGGAUAUCCCGCAGCUCAAGAAGGUAUUCCUUGUGGGCUGUGAGCAACUCCGUAGCCUAACCUGGACUAAAAGAAACCGUUCAUUGGGAGUUCUGCAUGUAGACACUCGGGGGAAGAUUGCAUCAGCUAUUUACUCUGGAGAACAGAUGUUCUCUGCCUAUGAGGUAGUUAUGGCUUUUCCAGAUGGAAGGUUCAUUUGGUCCACCAUAAAUGGACUCUAUCGGAUUAUUCCGAGUAACACCAAAGUGUACCUCCAUAUCUCUUCUACACACCAAAGCCAAGUAAAUGUCACCAGAGGGAUCAAGGAGAUUGGGCCUAGCUCAGAGGGUUUGGUUGCAACGGGGACCUUCUUCCCAUGCAACGAUAUUGUCCUUAACAGGGAUAUUGUAACUUGCUCGGCCUUGUUGUGGGACCACCGACAACUUUAUCCUUUGGGUGUUCAUAUCGAGAUAGGUGAAGGAAGCCACCAUUUAGACAGUAUGAAUGACAACGAAGCUUUCAGAGGUUUCAUGGAGUAUAAAGUUGAAUCAUUGCAUGUGCAUGACAAUAUCUCAGUCACAACCAUCCUUUCAGCGGCAGGCAAAUAUUGGGCCCAUCUAGAAUGGAGUCAUAUUGAGAGGUGCCCCAAGCUGCACACUGCGUUCCCUAAAUGGGGUGGGUAUAGUAGCUUUAGUUCAAUAAAGAUAUUUUCUGCAUCUGAUCUCGCAGUGGCCUAUUGCAUCUGGGGUACAUGCAGUGAGUAUCACUGGCAUCAGUUUGUAGUGCUACAACACAUAUACCUGCACAACUGUCCUAGGCUGGAGACGUCCUUCCCAUUUCCUUCACAUUGCCAAACUUGGAGACCAUUCAGAUUGCAUAUUGUGGUAACCUCCAACAUAUUUUCCCACUGA